AUGCUGAGCCUGAAGCCAAAGUGGUGUCCAGUCCAGCUCCCUCAGUUAGGGGUGUAUCCCAACAGGGUUCUCCACCCCUAAAUCUGCCUCUCUGGGGCUGCCCUCCACUGCCGAGCUUACCGCACGCUGCAGCUUUGCCCUGAUGCCAGGAGCUGUAGCAGACGCAGCAGCACUGAGACAUCAAGUGACUCUUCUGCUGCACAGACACACUGAAGAACACACACACACACUCAACACAAACACACAGAGAAGAAAACACUAACUAUACACAAAAGCACUGAGAGAAAAUGUACACACACACACUCCACACACAUUACAAUAGCUUUAAAUCUAAGUGACAGUCGCUCUCCUGUUUACAUGUUUACUGAUCGGAACACAGCAGCUGCAGGUACAAAUAAGAAUUAAUCACUCCAUUAUAUAAUAAUAAACAACACUGCUAUUUUUUUCCUCUGUAUUUGCAUGUUAAUGCAGUACAAUGAAUGUAAUAUUUUUUAGUAAAUAUGAGAAUAUUCAAUUUGACACAGAGGUCAGAGGAAUUAUGGGAAACAUUUUUACAAUAGUUUUUGUACACAUUUGUAAAUUUUGUUUAUUCCUCCAUGUGUGUGAUUUUAAAUUAUAGAGGUUUAUUUUUAUUUGUA
ensembl:lncRNA